UGUGGCUGUGGCUCAGUAGCAGAGCACUUGCCUAGCAUGUGUGAGACCCUGGGUUCGAUCCUUAGCACCACAA
rnacentral:tRNA from 1 species